GCCUCAUCCCAUCCAGGAGUCGCUCUCAUGGCCAUGGGGACCUUCUCCACAUUGCUUUAUUGUGAUAAUCACCGGGAACACCACGCACCCACACAAACAGCAGACUGCUGAACGAGCACUAAGUUCCCUACAAAAGCCUCUGUGCCCGCUCUGUACCUCUGGUUGCUCGGCCCUUUGGAUGAGCUGAAGCAGCCCUUCCUAUGGGAUCCCCGCGGCACUGCGGGGCCCUGGGGACGGGCGGCUGCCACACUGCGGGUACAAGAGCUGCACCGCAGCCCAGCUCGGAGCCCCGGGGACCGCAGGGACCGAGCCCGGCUCGGAGGUGCCGUAUCCCAUGCGAAACGCUCUCCUUCCCUCUCCGCUUUUAUCUGGAAGCUGCGUUUCGGGCAGCGAGAACUGAGCGAGACGGGAGCGGGGUAAUCGCGCAGAGCAUCCCCGGCACCACGCAUCGCUUCGGUGCUGGGAAACGCUUCGGUCGGUUCCGUUCUCGACACACAAAGGCAGCAGCGAACCCUCCCGGCCCCGCGGUGCGUCCUCCCGGAGCUCCGUGCCCUGUGUCUGUGCUCCGGUCCGGGGGCUCCGAGGUGCCGCUGCUCUUUGCUCCCCGUGCGGGGAGGGGAGAAUCGAAAUAAGCAGCUCCUUGGAUUUCCCUUUAGACCUAAAGCUGUCUACCUGAGGAACCAUCUCCUACUCAAAAAAUGCAGUUGCUUUCUGAUACAUGGAGCCAAUAUUUUGGAGUGCAGCAACCCCACAGGUGCUGAUGUCUGAGAACACCUUCUGCAGCCCUGCUGGCACCUGGCCUUCCUCUCCUGUUGUUGUCUGACCUCUGCUCCAGGCUGGCAAUACAUCAGUGUCAGCCAGAAGCCAAAUGCCAGACUCUCUGCUUGGCUGCAGAAAGAGGGUGCCCAUGGAGGGGAGGACUCACCCCAGCAGUGCCAUCUAUGGGACCACUCAAUGAAGAUUCUUCUGUGCUGUGACGGAGCUCUCAGUGUCUGUGCUGGAGUCAGGGGAAAAGGAAUGUAAUAAACCUGUUCUAAUCACAGAUGCAUAAUGGGGCUCAUUGCAGGAAUUGCUUCUUUAUUAAAAAUCACUGAACUAGAAAAGUCUCCAGAAGGAAUAACACAGAAAUAAAAGCAAGUGUUGCAGAUUA